ACUCAGGACCUGAGGGACACCAUGUGAUGCAUGUUUUAUUAGAAUUGUUCCUAAACAGCCAAUACAACUGCAUGAGGCUCUCUGCUGCCCCCACUAGCUCUGGAGCCGACCGAUGCCCUACAUAAGUUGAUAUUCUCUGGAAAUUGUUGGAGGUUGAGCUUCGUGUAAGAUUUUGGAGACAGACAGUGCCAAAAUAAAACCAUCAAGAGCUUAGCAGUGCCCUUCAGAUGGACAAACACAGGAACAUGAAGACCGAUCUAUUUCUCCAUUUUCAACUUGUAUCUUGCUAGUAGAACCAGAGCAACCCAAGACAUCCCGUCUCGUCUUUAUUUGGAGAGAUGGGUUAGCAGUUGUCUGCACUAUAAAAAGCAAUGUUAAUAUCCCCUCAGCACUUAAGAAUCCAAUGCAGUACCCAUCCCAUUCAAUGCAGGAACUCAGUAGAUCAACAACAAAGCUGAAGAAUGUUCCAGAGAGAAACCCCAAUUGCCCAAGAGCUGCAAGAGUUUGGGUUGCUCGCAGUGUGUUUGACUUUAAUACGAGAGGAAGAAGUGUGUUGGGGGUUGUAUGGCAGGUGGUUAUUUAUAGCAGAAGAGGGUGUCCUCUUCACCCACUGAGCUGAAACAAAAAUAAAUCACUCUUUUAACACCCUGCACCUCACAGUGAGAGAUGAGAACUGCUGUGCUACGAUACACCGCUAUAAAGAA